GCCGAUACCGUCCGGCGGACUGUUAAUCAGUGGGCCCGUUAAGAUGUUUUUAUGAAACCAUCGCCAGUUAGGCAGCUGUCAGAGCGGCGUCGAGAAAGCGAUUAGCGAUCUACUGUCUCGCAAGGAACGAAUACAAUUAAUUAAAUGCAAUACAAUUAAUUAAUAGCAACUUAAUUUUUACAGUGAACUGUUAAAAUAAAUUAUGCGAACUAAGGUGUAUUUGGGUAAUUACGAAAACUCCCUUAACUCCAUUAAAUAGUCCAUUUUCCGAAUUACCUGACAAUCUUCAGUAUUCGCAAUUACCCGAAUGCACUUUACUUAUGUGUGCCGAUUAGUUUAUUAUGUUUCUAUGGCUGCUAUAAGUAUAACUGCUAUUAUUUCUGUUUUGAUGUUUUAUUUUAUUUUACUGUCAUUUUCGGUCGCAGCGACAUAUAUAUCGAAAACGUGCAAUAAUUAAACAUAUUCAAAGAAUUUAUUUAAAGAUUUAAUGUUAUCGUUCAAAGGUUUGAAUGGAUUCGAGGCUUUUUAAAAUCAAUUCAAUGAGAAUAUUAAAAUAUCGCAAAUAUCGGUGCCCGUUUAAGCUAUCUUUGUACCGCCGACGUCAAAGAUAUGUUAACAAUUUUGCACCUUACUCCUUUGUAAUAAGGCGUAAAACGUAAACAUAUCUUUGUCGUCGACUGUACCAACUUGAACGGAGCGAAGUGAGGUAGUGUCAUUAAUAAACGUCAUCUUUUCAUAAAAGUUUGCGAUUGAUGAUGACAUUUCCACACUUUCUCAUCGCAAAUACCAUGCAGAGUUGGCUUGGUCCGAUAUCGACCUUGUCAGCCAUGAAUCUCUUCAUUUGAACGGACAAAUUAGUUCUUAAAAACUAUAUAGUGUAGUCGAGUGUAUCAUGUUUUUGUAUAAAAUAGUCGCGAGUUUCUUAUGUUAUUCAUUUGUGGGUUUCCAUCAGAAAAGGGUCCGUAUGUUUAAUCCGCAAUAAGGACCUUUUUAUCAGAAUUUCUAUUGGAAUUUCAGAUCGAUGAGCAUUUUCAUUUUAACUUGUACUUUGAGGUGCGACUUAAUGGUAACAUUCCAUUUCUAACCGCAGCUGCACUACCGGUACUGAACGCGUUGCUGUCAUUUUCAAUUUCCAUAGUAAAAUGAACAGUAAUGCAGCUGUCGUUGGAAAUGGACUGUCACCUUAAGUCGCAUUUCAGUAUCGUCUAUUAUAACUGUCACAUUCCUGAUAAAAAGUAUGGGAUGUGGCAUUGACCGUCAGUUUAGUGACGAUUGCUAACCGGCCGUUUAUGGUACCUACACAAGUACACAAGUGAAAAUGCCCGGAUACGUCCUUAUUGCACUUGAAGCAUAAGGACCCUUUUGUGUUGGAAAGCCACAUUUGUUUUUUUAUGUUAAAUCAUUUUUCAUUGCUUGGUAAUUUUCUACGUUUUAUACUCAAUGAAAUAAUUACAUUUUGUUAUACACAUACGUAUGGUCUAAUGUCUGUAUACAGUCAUGUUUUAGACACAUUUGACGUAUUUAAAAACGCUUUCUUAUAAUGAAUGUAAGAAUUGAAGACGCAUUGGUAUAACUGAAGUAAAAUAAUCAUACAACAUGGUUUUCGUUAUGUACCUAUCUAUCUAUAAGGAACAAUUAUAGCAAUGUUACUAUUAUAUCAAAUGUAUUUUUAAUCUGUUACUCGAAAUUACAGUUUGUAUGAAAUACAUUCCAGUACGUAGCAUAGUUUCACUUCAUACAUACAUAUAGAUAAGUGAGUGUGGUCACAGUUUCAAUAAAUGAACUUAUAUCAGUAUGUAUAGGUAUCGCUUAAAAUAAAAUGUAAUAUUGAA